rnacentral:rRNA from 1 species
UACAUAGGGGGCAAGCGUUGUUCGGAAUUACUGGGCGUAAAGGGCGCGUAGGCGGUCCGAUAAGUCCCGUGUGAAAUCCCUCGGCUCAACUGAGGAAUGGCACGGGAAACUGACGGGCUUGAGUUCGGGAGAGGGAAGCGGAAUUCCGGGUGUAGCGGUGAAAUGCGUAGAUAUCCGGAGGAACACCGGUGGCGAAGGCGGCUUCCUGGACCGACACUGACGCUGAGGCGCGAAAGCUAGGGGAGCAAACGGG